AAUAAUAAAUAAAUAAUUAAAACAUACUGCGAUUCGACGAAACGGAGCAUCCGAAAGACUCGAUCUGAAACCCGCAAUCUCCACCACGCGCGACGCAAUCUCUGCAAUCCGGGUUGAUCCACCACGACAAUUUGAUAUCUCCAGUUAUAUCCGAAAAAUUAACGGGCGGAACGUACGGACGAGGAACCAUAGCCGUAGAAAUCACAGUGCAAGUAAGUGGUGACGGUGAAUCUAGUAUGAUAUAGUGGUAAAGCACAGUUGGAACGGCGAAAACGGAGAAUUCGUCGUUUCCGUCACUCAGACAAGAAAUAGGGCUGAGAUCAUACUUAAUCGUCGACAUAUAAUCUAAGGAACAAUUAAGAAACGUGUAAUUUUCAAGUCGAUCGACUACGAAAGGAUCGGUACUGUUGAAGAGAUUGAAUUCUCGAUUCAAGAAUCGUUUGGGAAAGAUCGAUGCCUAUUCGGUUGCUGCAUCGAUUUCGUUGCGAUGUGUUUCUGUUUCUUAAUCGGAAUGGGAAGUGAACUGGUGGUGGAUUAGUUGCUCCGGUACAGGUUAAAGAAUCGCAGUUGUUGUUGAUGUUCUCUGCUGUUGUUAGCUGAGAAAGAGAGAAGUGAAGGAGGAAGAAGAAGAGUAGGAAGAUUGUGUGAGACGCCAUUGAUGGAGCUUUAGUUAGUUGCAGAAGAAGAAGUUGGUGUGUUCUUGGGUCUUAUAAGAGAGGUUUUGAUUAGGUGUAUCGCGGAGGGACUUGGUUAAGUACAACCGGUUAGAGGUUUUGUUUUGUCUAAUUUGUUUUACUACAAGGUGGUGAUCAAAUAAAUAGCAUAUAUUGUUGUCUUUGAUUAAUAUUGGAUUGUUGUUUGAGUAAGAAA